AGUGAACGCUGGCGGUAGGCCUAACACAUGCAAGUCGAACGGCAGCACAGUAAGAGCUUGCUCUUACGGGUGGCGAGUGGCGGACGGGUGAGGAAUACAUCGGAAUCUACUUUUUCGUGGGGGAUAACGUAGGGAAACUUACGCUAAUACCGCAUACGACCUACGGGUGAAAGCAGGGGAUCUUCGGGCCUUGCGCGAUUGAAUGAGCCGAUGUCGGAUUAGCUAGUUGGCGGGGUAAAGGCCCACCAAGGCGACGAUCCGUAGCUGGUCUGAGAGGAUGAUCAGCCAGACUGGAACUGAGACACGGUCCAGACUCCUACGGGAGGCAGCAGUGGGGAAUAUUGGACAAUGGGCGCAAGCCUGAUCCAGCCAUACCGCGUGGGUGAAGAAGGCCUUCGGGUUGUAAAGCCCUUUUGUUGGGAAAGAAAAGCAGCAAGUUAAUACCCCGCUGUUCUGACGGUACCCAAAGAAUAAGCACCGGCUAACUUCGUG
rnacentral:rRNA from 1 species